rnacentral:rRNA from 1 species
AUUGAACGCUGGCGGCAGGCCUAACACAUGCAAGUCGAACGCGUGGCGGACGGGUGAGUAAUGUCUGUGAAACUGCCUGAUGGAGGGGGAUAACUACUGUAAACGGUAUCUAAUACCGCAUACCCUCAGAUGUGCCCACAUGGGAUUUGCUCGUAGGUGGGGUAACGGCUCACCUCGGCGACGCUCCCUAGCUGGUCUGAGAGGAGGACCAGCAACACUGGAACUGAGACACGGUCCAGACUCCUACGGGAGGCAGCAGUGGGGAAUAUUGCACAAUGGGCGCAAGCCUGAUGCAGCCAUGCCGCGUGUAUGAAGAAGGCCUUCGGGUUGUAAAGUACUUUCAGUGGGGAGGCGUUACCCGCAGAAGAAGCACCGGCUAACUCCGUGCCAGCAGCCGCGGUAAUUC